AUAUAUAUAUACAUAUAUAUAUGUUAUGUAAGAUUUGUAAAGAUAGAAGGAAUCAAUAAUAAUAAGAGAAAGAAGAAAAUUUACAGAAAAAGAUAGUAAAAACAGAUAGCACAUUGCGAUCUUAAGAAUCUAUUAAUAUUUGUCACGUAAUAAUGUGUCGACUCGACUUUUUACUUCAUCGACGAAAUUAGGUACAACUGUAAUGAAAAAGAAAAUGAGCAGUAAAUGACGCGAGUGAUAUUGCUCAUAAAGUUCAUUAUCGCAUAACCGGUCGAUUACUGCUUCGCAAAACGAACGGACUCAUAUGUGAUUCGACGUGAAUGAACAAUAACAUAAUGAUGAUCGAUUAAAUCGCAUUAAAGCAUGAUUAAAUUAAUUUUACGAACAUCGAUAAUUGCUACAAUAAUAUAAAAUCGAUAAAGACCGAUUCGUCAACGGCACGAUCUACUUAUAAGACCGAAACUGAUCUUUUUUGUGUCGAUUACACCUUUGAAUGCACAUCGACACGAUUCGAUCUAUCAACGAACAACGACGAAUACUUUUCCAUUAAAACGAUAUUGUGAAGAAAGUCUACGAGCCACAAUCUUCUACGCCACAAGCACGAGAAAUGUACAGCGCUGAAGAACAAGAAAACAAUAUAAAUAAAAUAAACAUGAUUUCCAAUGUUAAGAGUUUAAUAUAUAAGCGGAUAAAGUUCAAUUACUUUUUUCACGAGAGAACAAACAUUCGUGUCAAUUGGUCACGAUCGACUAAUAAACAAAAAAAUCUUCAAAUUGCAAUAAAACGUGUACAUAGAUUAAUGAUACAGAGAUGAAAAAAACGUAUAAAGACUUUAAACACCCGUAUAAAAAUCUAAAUCCCUCGAUUUUGAGGUCCUGCUUCGGUAAUAGAAAGGUACCAAGAUGCAGCGAUGAAAAAAAGAAGAGAAAAGUUACUACUAUAAAGUAUACGAUGAUUACGGAAUUAAAGAACUAAAACUGUUUAACUAAUUUUAGAACGUGAAAGAAAAGUGAUGAAUCUAAUGCAACUCAUACAUAACAAAAAAUCGAGAUUGUAUAGGGAAUGGAACGAGAACCAAUUUAUAAUAUUAAUUUCUGAAUAUCAAUUAUUAAGUGCUAAUAAUUGAUUAAUUUAUUUCAGGGCUUACGAUUCUGUGAUUGUACAAGUCUCUUCAUCUUUUAUCAAUGACUCUACUUGACUUUUAUCUUCCAAAGUAACAACUUUUUUCGACUUUUUUCAUUCAAAACCAAUAACUUCAUCGAGACUUUUCUUUUGCUUGCAAAGUUGAUUAAAUAUCUGAUUAAUUUUUAUUUAAUAAUGUAAUAAAAAAGAAAGUUUCGACGUUUAGUAGCCGAAAUUCCAAAGGAAGCUGAUAGGGCAAGCGUUAAAGACAAUCAAGAGUCCGUUUUCGUUAACAUAACAAGUAGCCAAUGAUCGCAUACUUCAAAUUUUGAAAUAUUGUAAGUUUAAAUAGAUUUUGUUUUGUGUUUAUCGCCUGUUACAAACUUUGUAAUGUUUAAUCGAUGUACUAUUGUUUAUGCUGAAUUUGAUCACGUUAAUCUUAUUUUGUUUUACCAAACAAUUUAAUUAUUUGGAUAAAAAGAAGAAGCUAAUCACGUAUAUACGUAUUAGCCAUAUUCAAGAAAGAAAAAAGUAACUUGUAAGUCAGUAAAAUAGAUCGAUUUGUCACAAUCUAUAUAUAAAAAUAUACCUCCGACGGAUUACAAAUAAAUUAUAGAACUUUUCAUCCACGUGGAACGAUCAUAUUAUAUAUAUCGUAAUGUGGAAGAAAUAUCGAUGCUUUUCAAUAGAAAUAUUUAUACAAACGUAUUCAAUUGAUAAAUCAAAGGUAGAUAUUAUAUACAUGGGUAUAUAUAUUUAUGGAGAUGUAUUAAUAUACGAUAGAAAAUUGAAAAGCAUCGUUCCAUCUUUACGUUCGACAGAAUGAUUAUUCGUACGGCAAUGGAACGAGACGAAUAAAAGACAAGAAAGCAAAAAAAAGAAAAACAACAAUCUUCCAAUAGAAAAUAGAACAAGAAGAAGAAGAAUAAAGAGAAACAAUAGCAAGAAAGCGAAUAAUUAAAUAGUUUCCCGGGCUUUUAGUCGAAUUAUUUUUGUCAACUAUGAUUAUGUAGUAAUCCGAUUACACAGCGAACGCGUGAAUAUCCAAGCAAUUCAUACGAUAGCAGAAUUCUCUCGAGGAUUCAACAGACUUUCCCUUCCUUUCCCUUUUUAUUACUUACUCACUGACUCAUUUGCUCUCUUUCUCCUUAUAUCUAUCUAUCUCUCUUUCAUACUUAAUAUUUCACUUUUGAUCGAAGAAAACGAGUUCGCUGAUUCUUUCCACGUGCGUGCAAUCGCGAAGAACUUCCAAUCGAUUUUUUAUUUCAUUUGAUUUGAGAGAGAGAGAAAGAGAAUAUGUUGAAAGUUCUUUCUGAUGCCUUUUUUGUUACCUCUUUUUCCUUCCUAUCUGUUAUAGAGCCCACCAAUCAACUAAUCCACCUCCUAUCUCCUAGUUCCCCCGUUUCCUCAACCACUCUACCGUUUGCCGCAUUUGAAGAGAAUUUAACAUUUAUUAUUCUUCGUCGACCUUUAAUUAGUCUUACUUUGCUCAAUUCUGUUCAUUACCCCUGGUUUUUUAAUGGAUUACGCCAUAAAAAUAUUAUAAAAUAAUUUUUGACUAAUUUUAAUGAACAAGCUCGCAUUUUAAAAACGAAGGUUUAAUAUACAGCGUAUUGAUAUCAAAUAUUUGAAAAAUGCUUUUUCUUCAAAAAAAUAUCGUGUUAAAAAGUGAUAUUUUUCGAAAUUAAUAUCCACAAAUAAAUACUUUUUAUAAAAAUUUGAAGCCAAUACACUGUAAAUUAAACUUUUAUCUUUAAUAUGAAAUCUUGUUCAUCAAAAUUAGUCAUG